rnacentral:rRNA from 1 species
AUUGAACGCUGGCGGCAUGCCUUACACAUGCAAGUCGGACGGCAGCGGGGGAGCAGCUUGCUUUUCCUGCCGGCGAGUGGCGAACGGGUGAGUAAUACAUCGGAACGUGCCCUGUAGUGGGGGAUAACUAGUCGAAAGAUUAGCUAAUACCGCAUACGACCUGAGGUUGAAAGUGGGGGACCGCAAGGCCUAAUGCUAUAUGAGCGGCCGACGUCUGAUUAGCUAGUUGGUGGGGUAAAUGCCUACCAAGGCGACGAUCAGUAGCUGGUCUGAGAGGACGAUCAGCCACACUGGGACUGAGACACGGCCCAGACUCCUACGGGAGGCAGCAGUGGGGAAUUUUGGACAAUGGGCGAAAGCCUGAUCCAGCAAUGCCGCGUGUGUGAAGAAGGCCUUCGGGUUGUAAAGCACUUUUGUCCGGAAAGAAAUGGCUCUGGUUAAUACCUGGGGUCGAUGACGGUACCGGAAGAAUAAGGACCGGCUAACUACGUGCCAGCCGCCGCUGUAACAC